CUCGGCGGGCACUUGCAGCCAAGGCAUCACCAGCAGCCUCCUUCCGCCCCCAAACGCGCCCUAAAGUAGGGUGUGUGGACGCGUCUGCAGCAGAUCCCGGUCCCCCUGGCGCACGCCGCGCCGCCGCCGCUGCAGCACGGUCGCAGCGACCUUCCCGCCCGGGGCUCCGUGAGCCCCGUUACCCACGUCGGCCACACACCCCACGAGAAAAAGGGAGGAGGACGCACAACAAAGCCUAACCCGAGGAGGCCCAAGCGAGCUGAUUCUCUGGUGACGCAGUGGUUAAGAAUCUGCCUGCCAAUGCAGGGGACAUGGGUUCGAGCCCUGGUCCGGGAAUAUCCCACAUGCCGUGGGGCAACUAAGCCCGUGCGCUACAACUACUGAGCCUGCACUCUAGAGCCCGCGAGCCACAACUACUGAGCUCACACGCCUAGAGACCAUGCUCCGCAACAAGAGAAGCCACCGCAAUGAGAAGUCUGGGCACCGCAGUGAAGAGUAGCCGUCGUUCACCACAACUAUAGAAAGCACGCGCACAGCAACGAAGACACAAUGCAGCCAAAAACAAACAAAUAAAUAAAUAUAAAUAAAGCUUAUUAAAAAAAUA